AAAAAAAAAUCCGGAAAUGCUCUCUCCUCCCCCCUUUCUUCUCCCCAGAAUCCGGCCAACGGUCCGGCCAAGAGCCACCGUACCGGCCGCCGGUCGCCGGCUCCGGCGCACCGUGCACGGCGGCGGGGAGACCAAAAGUCUCCCCCUUUUCUCCGACGCAACCCUCUGAUUCCGAGCACUCCAACGACGACGAAAAACGGUGCAGGCACAAGUGGGCAGGGCAGGUGAGCGGCGGAGUAGGUGGCGGCAGGUAGCAGAAGAGCAGGGGUUUGAAUAAUUGUUUUAGGCCUGAUUUGGAUUUAGGUAAUUGGGCUUAUUGCUUUCUGAUUUGGGCUGUGGCGUAUUGGGCUAGGCUAGUUGGGUCUGGGUCUGUUUUAGGUUAGGUCUGGGUUAUUUGGGCUUGGGCAAAAUUGGGCUGUACAGUGUUUCUAAGAGCAAGGAGGUAGCUCACAGCCCAACAGUCACAAAAUCGCGCUAAGACUGCAAGGUCUUUUCCUAUUGCUACUGUUAGCAGGACCAUCGCGAUGCCCAACCUUCUCACUCAUCUGCCCCUGUUAUUACCCUUACUACUACCAUGUUAUGUUACCUCCUGCAUUAUUAGGAAGACAUAUUCAACCAGGAAAUAGUUUUCUUGGUGCACAAAAAGGCCAACGGUUUAGAGAUCAAACUUAUUUCAGGUAUUGUGACUUUGUUCUAGAACCAAAUAUCCUCUUUGUGUGCAGAAGGUUGUUGUAAACACUGAGGUUUAAGAAUUGUUUUUUUUAAACGAAAAUAAAACACAAAAAACACAUUUUCUCUAACCAAA